UACAGAGGUCUCAAGCGUUGUUCGGAUUCAUUGGGCGUAAAGGGUGCGUAGGUGGCGGGGCAAGUCAGGUGUGAAAUCUCGGAGCUCAACUCCGAAACUGCACUUGAUACUGCCUUGCUGGAGUACUGGAGAGGAGAUUGGAAUUUACGGUGUAGCAGUGAAAUGCGUAGAUAUCGUAAGGAAGACCAGUGGCGAAGGCGAAUCUCUGGACAGUUACUGACACUGAGGCACGAAGGCCAGGGGAGCAAACGGG
rnacentral:rRNA from 1 species